CGACAUGUCACCUCCUGAGGGAGUAACUCAAGAGGUGUGGAGUGACUGCAUCGCUUAUUGGAGCACAGACAAACAAAAGGCGAGAGCAGCGAAAAAUAAAGAAAGUCGGGGUAAGAUGAAAUUUUUAGGAGGCUGGGGCUCCAAGCCCAUUGUUUCACAUGUUGUCGAAGGGGCUAACCCCGACACAGGAGAACUGCCAACUGCGGUGGAAACUUUUCAAAAGUUUCACCAUAAAGGCAACGAUUGGCGCAACGAGUUUGCGCAACAAGCUUACGUAAGUUUACGUUUUAAUUCAAUUUUUAUUUAUUUCUUUCAAUUUAUUUUGUGUUAAAAUUAACCAUUUAACUUACUUGUUUAAUUGUUUUAGG